rnacentral:rRNA from 1 species
ACUCCUACGGGAGGCAGCAGUGAGGAAUCUUGCGCAAUGGGCGGAAGCCUGACGCAGCCACGCCGCGUGCUGGAAGAAGGUCCUAUGGAUUGUAAACAGCUUUUAACCGGGAAGAACAGCCCUGAUUCGUUGGGGUUUGACGGUACCGGUUGAAUAAGCACCGGCUAACUCCGUGCCAGCAGCCGCGGUAAUACGGAGGGUGCAAGCGUUGUCCGGAAUCAUUGGGUGUAAAGGGUGCGCAGGCGGGCAUCUAAGUCUGAGGUGAAAUCUUGCCGCUUAACGGUAAAAUGGCCUUAGAUACUGGGUGCCUUGAAUCUAGUAGAGGUUGGUGGAAUUCGUGGUGUAGCGGUGAAAUGCAUAGAUAUCACGAAGAACAUCAGUGGCGAAGGCGGCCAACUGGGCUAGUAUUGACGCUGAGGCACGAGAGCGUGGGGAGCGAACAGGAUUAGAUACCCCGGUAGUCC